UACAGAGGGUGCGAGCGUUGUCCGGAAUUACUGGGCGUAAAGGGCGCGUAGGCGGCUUGGUAAGUCGGGGGUGAAAGUCAGCGGCUCAACCGCUGGACUGCCUUCGAGACUGCCUGGCUUGAGCAUGGUAGAGGCUGGCGGAAUUCCCGGUGUAGCGGUGGAAUGCGUAGAGAUCGGGAAGAACAUCGGUGGCGAAGGCGGCCAGCUGGGCCAUUGCUGACGCUGAGGCGCGAAAGCUAGGGGAGCAAACGGG
rnacentral:rRNA from 1 species